ACCAUCCCUGUGCCCGCUGCACCUUCCCACCAGGCAGGGUUACAAAAAAAAAGAAUUGUGUUUCAAUUUGUGCGUUUUGUUCAAUACAUAAUGUACAGACUUGUGCUCUUAAUUAUUAUUUUUUAACUUAUUUCUACGUAAAGAUUGUGCAUUUGAAAUAACCCAUGUAUUAUGGUUUUGAACUUGUACAGGGAAAAAAUAAGUAAUAGAUAUUUUAAUCGUAAAAGGUUAUUUUGUUUGUCUGGACCAAGUUGGUUUUUAUAUUGAGUCGUGUCAAGUUCCUUGUUGUUGUUAUCGUUAAAGUCGAUGUUAUUGGCUUAACUCUUGAAGCAUGUGUUGAUCGGGUUUGGUUCCGUUUGGUUCCGUUGUUUCUUCCAUUUCCCCUCUGGACUGGAGUUGGAUCCAGGCACCACAACGAGGUGUUCAUUCUAAUGGAGUUGGAUCCAGGCACCACAACGAAGGUGUUCAUUCUAAUGGAGUUGGAUCCAGGCACCACAACGAGGUGUUCAUUCUAAUGGAGUUGGAUCCAGGCACCACAACGAAGGUGUUCAUUCUAAUGGAGUUGGAUCCAGGCACCACAACGAAGGUGUUCAUUCUAAUGGAGUUGUGAUUUUUGGAUGCUGCUGUUGUCGUUGCAGGCUGGUAGCUUUUACUCCCCAGAAGAAGCUGUACCGUUGAAAGUUCAGUUAAACCUUCAAAAAAAGAGUCAUUCGUCGUCAUUCGCUCCCCUUAGUUUGCAACAAAAGGGUGCCAUUUGGGAUACUGGAACACUCCGUGUACAGCCUCUAUCCCGUGUGUGUGUGUGUGUGUGUGUGUGUGUAGUCCAGUGGUUGUGUCAUUAAAAAAUACACCGUUUGUUGUGGCUUCUAUUAGGAGAAGAAAAUAACCAUCCUUUUCCAGUUUUAAUGUGAGAAUUUAAUGCAACAAAACCUAUUUUUUCAAACGUCAUUUUGAACAGAAGUUCUAAAAAAAUAUGUCUAUUUUAAUAUUUACUUGUUACAUGACAUGUACAUAUUUGUUAUAUAUAUAUAUAAUUGAAUAAAUUUUAUUGGUUGUGAAUUCAAAUC
rnacentral:lncRNA from 1 species